rnacentral:rRNA from 1 species
CAGCCGCCGCGGUAAUACAGAGGGUGCGAGCGUUAAUCGGAUUUACUGGGCGUAAAGCGUGCGUAGGCGGCUUCUUAAGUCGGAUGUGAAAUCCCUGAGCUUAACUUAGGAAUUGCAUUCGAUACUGGGAAGCUAGAGUAUGGGAGAGGAUGGUAGAAUUCCAGGUGUAGCGGUGAAAUGCGUAGAGAUCUGGAGGAAUACCGAUGGCGAAGGCAGCCAUCUGGCCUAAUACUGACGCUGAGGUACUAAAGCAUGGGGAGCAAACAGGAUUAGAUACCCCAGUAGUCCCUGUCUCUUAUAC